UAUAUGUCUGGCUUCCUGGCUUCUCACCCUCCUUCCCGAUACUUCUCGUCUCCUUCCCGACUCUUCCGUCUCCAGCAUCGCGCCGAGGCCGCGCUCGGUAGUGCCGUCGUCGUUCCCCACCUUCGUCGUCGCUGCCGACCAUCGUGACGCCCUCUCCGGUCCUGGGACGGCACAAACCCAACCUAGGGUUUCGGCCCUUCAUCAGGUGGCAGCUGCAGCACCGACGACCCACGACCCCCUCCUUUCUCCUCCACCCCACGCGGCCUAGCCCUGUGACAUGGCUCCUCGCAGAGCGUGACGCGGGUGGUGUGGGUCCUGCGCGGCGGCGCGACAUGGGCGGACACCGUUGUUGCCCACGGUUGCCUCCCUCCACGUGAGCUCCUGCACACAGGCAGCGCGGCUCUCCUCUCCCUCGAUCCAUCCACUCGCUGGUUUACUCUUCCUCUCUUUCCCUUCCUCCCUCCUUUCCUUCCCCCUCUCUCCUGAUGUGGGAUAUCACCGUAGAUGUGGUGUUUUCAUUCUAUUCUCGCACCAAUCUACACAUGGUUAUUGUUAAUUGUUGUUGUUAUCCCCUACAAACCCGUGCAGCUCCUCCAAAGAACCCCUGGCCACGUCUCCUCAAAUGUUUUCAGCACUUUGAUUUGCUAUCCUCUGGUUGAUAAACGCUGCAGCUGAUUCAGCUGAUUUCGUUACCAAAUACCUCCUCCUGUGAUUUCUAAUGCUUCUUUGGGUUUACUUCCUAGCUAUGCUUAAUUUUUACAGCUUCCACUGUAAGUCCUGAACUCUGAGCACAUGACCAUGGCACUAAUAUUGGUUUCACACUAUCUGCACUGCAGUACUGAUGUUUUUGGGUUCAUUGUUUGCAUUUUAGCCAUGUGUGAUGAUGAGUAUGAUUUAGAUCUACAAUUGAGGGAAUGGGCUACUGCUAUGAUAAUUGCACCAUAAAUUAGGUUUAUUUGUGUUCCAUGUAAUGAUCAUUAUGUACCUUUCCAUAGGUUACAUCUUGAUGUCUUUAGAUGCCUGAGGCAAUGCUCAUGACCUAAGAUCACUCUUCCUCUUACAUCUUUUUUCUAUAUCGACAACUUAGGCAAUCACCAUGGUCAGUGUUGGUGCUAUUUUUGCCAACUCUUUCUAGCUGUCCCAUGAUAGCAGAGGCAAUGGUCAAUUGGUUGUCUAUGUUUUCUUGCAUCUAUUCCUGCCUCAUCUGUUUUGUCACAUACUAUGCGGCUGAAAUUUGCUCUUGGUUAUGAGAUCUGAGGUUGUGUUGCCAUUGCCUGUGAUAAUUUUUUUGCUUUGCCUGUUUGUUACGUAUGAGCAUUGCCUGUGAUGACAUACUAUUUCUUCUGAGCACAUGCCCUAUCCCAAUGAUUACAUUGGCAUACACUUUGGUUGUGUGCAAUCACUUUCUGUUUAUCUAUUUCUUUGAUUUCUUCGGGUAUGAAUCUUGUGCUUGCUUGUGCUCUACUUGCUUUUAUCUUCGCCCAAUUAAUGUUUUUGUUGAUAUUUUUGGGAGCAAUUGUGAUGCUUGGCUGGUACUUGGUCCCUAUGUUCGUACUCAGGUACCUGAAUGAUUUAGGCUUUUGGAAUUGAUGGUAUGCUCCCUGUUCAUGUCCUUCACUUCUAACAGGAAAAAAGUUGCCAUGAUUUCCUAUUGUGGUGAAACUAUUUACCAAAGUAAAUAAUAUUUUAUUUAGUUCUAUACAGCAAGCAUGCCUACUGUGAUAUUGAGACAAUCAGUUAUGAAGCUACAUUGCAAUGUUUUAUUCCUGUUGGUUCCCUUCUUAGCAAAGAAGUUGCUACUAAAUGGUUUACAAUGUGCGUUGUGCUUCACUAAAACUAUUACAUAAAUAUUUGCCUCUGCUUCUUCUUAAAUUUGUCAGAAAACUUCUUUCGUCUUAAUGAAAUAUGGGCUUAACCCCCAUUCGUGAAAAAAAACAAAGUAUGUAAACUAUGCAUGUACAAUGUCCGUAACUUUGUUUGGUUAAUUUGUAUAAUAAGCUAUGACUUAAUUUCUAGAACCAUCAUUUUAUCAUAUUUUGAAAUUGGUAACGGUUCUCACGAUCCAGUUGUGUUUGACUAUCUUUGAAGACAGUCAAGUAGCGAAUGCCUCUCAAAAGGUUUCAGUGAUCUAUUACAUGGAGUCAUGGACCUUAUUCAUUAUCAAUGUAUUUUUAUUUGAUUCUUUCUCUAAUUUUUGAACUAUAACUAUUGUUGGCUUCCUUCUUUGAUUCGUAUAGCUACGAAUGAGUAGCUUUAUCAUCUACAUUAUGCGCACUCCUUUCUCUUGGUCAAUUUCUGCCAUAAGCAAUAGCCCAGUUCCCUCUCCUUGAUUGUAAAUUCUCCAGUCUCCCUACCUUGCAAGAUACAACCAUGUAUUAGCGCUUCAUUUUUCCAUGUCCACCUCAGUGAAUCUAUAGUAUGGGUUUUGAACACUGUUUUCUUUCUUAGAUCAAUGGCAGGGCUCCUAUCAUUUUUGUUCCAAAAGAAGUACUUAGUCUAUUUACUCAAGUCAUGUUUCCUGAACCUUGGUUUGUAAUGUACUAUUUUCAUAAUUAUAGGCAGCUCCCAACCUUUGAUCUACUGCCUGAAGAAGAAUAUGUAUGUAAGACACUGCUACAGAGUGCAAACAGCUUCAUCGGAUCCUGGACCAGCAGAGGUAGGAUGCAAAAGUGCUACAGACAACACAGUUUCGAUCACAUAUGCAAGAAAUCGAAAGACUUCUCAACUCUGAUGGUAUCGAAAUCCAUGGAUAGUUCUUAUGAACUUCGUGUGCUGAAGAAGUUGGAAAUAUGAGGGAAGCAGUUUGGAGUAGACCAUGGAUGUCUGCAUGCGGGCUAAGGGAUGCAUAUUUCAGAAACUCCAGGAACUACCAAAUGGCUGUCCUCCUUGUUUAGAUGAUGAUUAUUUGAGAUUGCUUAACCAACUUUUGAGUUCUGGCACAAUUCUCGUGGUGCACUUCCCAUCGAAGAUCUGGGACCAGCAAUUAACACCAUUCAAAAAUUUCAAACUUCUAACCUAUUUGCAGUAAGGGUUCACCUCCAAGGAGUUACACCGGUAUGUAAUCAUGCUAAACCUUCCUCAGGAAGUGACGAUUGAUAAUUUUGAGUGGAUGAUGCCUGGGAGGCUUUGGUUUCUUUUUGAUAUAGGUCCUAUGCUUGGUAGCAACACAAUCAAAUUAAGCCGAGGAUUUUCUCCUUUUCAGUCUGCAAUUACAAGGCCUUCACAUGUAACCUACCACGCUGUUGUUUUUAUCAUGCCAUUAUCUAUCCAGUAUUCCCACAAACUGCAAGUCCAUUGUUCUACUUCUAUUUUUAAAAUUCUGAAAAAGACUGAAAUCUUUAUAUUUAGUCCACUGUUUGCUGCUUAUUUGUUGUUUAUCUUAUUUAAGCCUACAAUGUUAGUAUCUGUAUGGAUCCAUGUUUUAAAUAGCGAGCUAAGGCCAAGGUGUUUAGCGUUUUAUAAACCAUAAUUAGCGUACUUUAGCGGCAAAAUAGCGACAAAAUUGUGCAUGAACACAAAUAGCGGCACAAUUUUUUUCAAGCUAUUUCGGGCUAUAGCGGCAAAAAUAGCGGGCCAGGUUCAGUGCUAACAACAUCAUGACGACCGGUAAUAUGGAGUUGCUGCUGCGUCCAUCAUUCUCUCAAAUAUGUGUGCAUGCAGUUACUUAAUAGGUUACCGUGCAGUGACUAUGUUGGAUUCUCUGCUCUUUUGCUCGCCUGUAGUGCCUACUAACCGAUCUGUCUAUCCAUUGUUGAGGUUCGCCUCUUCCUUGCUUAUUCUGUUUUUUGUCCUUACUCAUUUGUUGGAGUAUUGACUUAAAUUCGCCCUUAGUGGAAAUGGUGUUGCACUUCCCUGUUUUUAUAGAUUCCAAAUGAAUGUUCUCUAAUGCUAUUCAUAUGUUUUUUUUUUUGAGAAAUCUGGAGGGGCUUUGGCCCCUACAGUGAAAGUUUAUUCAUAGAGAAAAAGGGGGUACACAGAUACAGGUACACUAGGGAACAAAGAAAGAAAGGAAGAAGAGUAAAAAGGUGGAGAAAGAAGAAGGAAACAAAAAGAAGAAAACUAAGAAAGAGACUGAAUCCAUGCUUCAAGAACUUGUAGAUGCUGAUCUUUGACUCUAUGCGUGAGCAAGAGCAGUUCUUUCCUGAAAAGAAGUUUGCUGAUCCUAUAGACGGUGGAAUUCCUUCGAAGAUCUGGUUGUUUCUUGUUUUCCAGAUGGACCAUGACAUCAGGAUAAUUGUUUCCAUGAAAAAACUGGAUUGUAUUUGAUCCUUGAUCUGGGAGACAGCCUCAGGAAAAUUGGUGUUCAUAGGUGCUUCAAUCUGGAUAUUGUCCCAGCAUUGACCGGCAAAGGGGCACUGAAGGAACAGGUGUUGUGCAGUUUCUUCCGUACUGUUAACACAGAAGACACAGUCAAAGGAUGCAAGCUCCAUAUUCUUCCUCCUUAGUAUGUUUCUUGUGUUCAGUCUAUCUUUCAACAGUAGCCAAAAGAACACCUUGUGUUUUGGUUGGCAUUUUGAUUUCCAUAGCCACUUAUAGGAAUCAUGGAUCUGGGAAUGACCCAUUAGAAGUUUGUAGGCUCUGUUGGAGUGGAACCUCUCUCCCCAGGUAUAGCUCCAGACAUCCUUUUCUUGAGUAUGAGGAAAUCUUUGUAGAAUGACUAAGAGUUGCUGAAGUUGCUGAUAUGCCUGAACAGAUAAGGGCAGGUGGAACAGCUGUGAUAAAUUACUACAUUCAAGUACUUUCUUGGCAGAAAUAUAUUGUUUUUUUGUAAAAGAGAAAAGUUCUGGCAUUGUGGCUUUGAGCUCCCGAUUAUUCCACUUGUCUUCCCAGAAUAGAGUGCUUUCACCAUUUCUAAGGGCUAUGGAAGCAAAUUCCUUGUACUGAUGCAGUAGUAGUUUGAGAUUGUCUCUCCACCAAAAUGAGCCUUUUCUGGUCCUCCCUGGAAGUUUAUCAUUUCUGUAAUAUUUUUCCCAAAUCAUUUGUACCCAGGGUAUAUCCCUCUUAUUUAAGAACUUAUCCCAAUUCUUCAUCAUGAGUGCCUUGUUUUGUUUCCCCAGAUCAAUUACUCCUAGGCCUCCCUGUUCUUUGGGUUGACAAACUAGGGUCCAAGCUGCUUGAGGUGGUUUUCUCCCAUUCACAUCGCUUCCUCUCCAAAGACAGUUCUUCCUAAAAGAAUCAAUUCGCUUAAUCACUGUCCCAGGGAUCUCAAGAGAACAUAGGUAAAAAGUUGGGAGGGCCGUCAUGACAGCAUUUGUUAUUUCCAGUCUGCCAGCUUGUGAAAGAAGGGCUGAUACACCUCCAAGCCUAUUUUCACACUUAUUUAUCAGAGGCAAGUAGUCCUGAAUCACUGGCUUUGUGAGGCCCAAAUAAGUAAAAGGGAAGGAGCCUUUGGAACAACCAAAGGUGUUGGCCAGAUGAUCCAACUUCUGAUCGUUGAUGUUGAUAGGCAGCAUCAUUGAUUUCUUCAGAUUGACCUUGAGACCUGUUGCUUCUGAGAAGGUGUUGAUUACUGACUUUAAAAACAGGAGUUGUCUUGUGUCACCUUCUAGAAUUAUAAGUGUAUCAUCAGCAUACUGGACCACUGGGAAGUCAGGAUUCGUUUGCAAAGGUAUUGGUAAUGACAGGAGCCCCAAGUCCUUUCCCUUGUUAAUCAGAGACUGAAGAAGAUCAGCUGCAAGCACAAAGAGUAGAGGGGAGAGAGGGUCACCCUGCCUGACCCCUCUUAGACAAUGAAUGGUCUUUCCAGGGGAUCCGUUCAAUAGAACUUGGGAGGUAGCAGAAGUGAACAGGGCUCUGACCCAUCCAAUCCACCUUUCUCCAAAACCUUUAGCUUGCAGGAUGUUGAUGAUUGCUUGGUGUUCCAUUUUGUCAAAAGCUUUUUCAAAGUCAAGCUUAAUGACCACUAUUUCUUUUUUUGAGUGAUGGCACAUGUGGAGAUAUUCAAAGGCCCAGGCCACACAGUCCUGAAUUGUCCUAUGCUUGAUGAACCCAUAUUGAUUUUUGUGCACAAGUUUGGUUAUCACUGGCUGCAACCUGUUUGCCAUUAUCUUUGUCACUAGCUUGAGGGAGGAAUUUAGCAGUGAUAUGGGCCUGAAGUCUGUGACAGUUCUGGGAUCAUGCACUUUUGGGACAAGGGUAAUGAAAGAGGUAUUGAUGCUUCUCAGGCAGACUUCAUUACUAAAGAAGGAGUCACAAAAUUUAAGUAAAUCUUCUUUUACAGUUCCCCAUGAGGCUUUUAGGAACUCAUUAGUGAAUCCAUCGGGUCCUGGGGAUUUGUCAUUAGGGAGGUACUUGAUGACUGCCUCUAUCUCAUGAUUACUGAGAGGCAGCUCCAGACAAGAAAGGUCAUCCCUAGUUUGUAGCAGAUAUUCUAACUCAAAUCCAAACCUGUCAAACUCUGAUUUGCCUAGUCUUUCCUUGUACUCCUUCCAUAACAUCUCCUCCUUCUCUCUGUGUGUGCUUGCAAGGUAGCCAUCCUCCCUUUCCAAAUGUCUGAUAAGAUUUCCUCUCAUUCUUAUUGUGGCAUUUGCAUGAAAGAAUUUUGUUGUUGCAUCCCCUAGCUUCACCCAUUUAAUGUUGCCUCUUUGUUUCCAAUAGGUUUUCUGCUGAUCCAAAAGCAUAAAUAAUUUCUCCUUCAGUGAAGAUCUAAAGUUCCACUCUGGCAGACUAAGAUCUCUGUAUUCUUCAAUGACAUCCAAGAACUGUAUGAUAUUUUUCACAUUUUGGAUAACAGUCUUUAGAUUGGACAGGGAGGCUUGUUUCUCCUUCAGAGUUUUCCUCAAUCGUUUAUAUUUAGCAGUAAGUGUCCUGGCAGGGUCCAACUGUGCUAGGGGACUGUUCCAGCUGCUGCUCAAGAUUUCUUGAAAGUUCUGCAUUUGAAGCCAAUAGUUCUCGAAUCUGAAGGCUUUGGGCUUCGGGAUUUGAGUAGAUAUCUGGACCAAACAUGGGCAAUGAUCAGAGGGGCUUCUGUUCAGAGCUUUUGCAGAUGUAUCAGGAUACUUUAGAGUCCAGGCAUUUGAAGUGAAGAUCCAAUCAAGCUUUUCUAAGAGAGGGUUCGGCUGCAUGUUGGACCAUGUGUAUUUUCUUCCCUGUAGUGUUAUUUCAUUGAUUCCCAGGUGACUGAUGGUAUCAUUAAACAUGAACAUUUCAGCCAUGUUUCCUUCUCCCCUAUUUCUGUCCUCCGGCUUCCUGAUCAAAUUGAAAUCACCCAAGACUAUCCAUUCCCUGUCCUCAGGCAUUUGAAUCUGCCUGAGCCAGUCAGUGAAAUUCUGCUUUCCUUCUGGUGUACGCGGGCCAUAGACAUUAGUUAAGAUCCAACUGUCAUCACUCAUUUUAGAGUUAAUUUCCACAGAGAUGGCAAACUCAUUAUUAAAAUCAUUUCCCCACUGAAUAAUCUUCCUUUCCAUAUUGUAAUUAUCCCCCCUGAGGCGCCUACUGAUGGGAGAAAUUCAAAGCUAUCGAAACUGGGUGGGCAAAUAUUUCUGAGAAAGGACUGGUCAAACUCAUCUUUCUUAGUCUCCUGAAGACAGAAUGUCACACUCAGAUUCCACAAUCCUGUCCCUGAUUAUAUUCCAUUUAUCUCUAGAAUUUAUGCCCCUAACAUUCCAGCUCAAGAUCUUCCAAUUCCUAUUGUGAUUGUGAUUCAUUUGUCACAUGAGAGGUUAGUUUUUAGGCUAGGCGUCAGAAAGAUUGCCUCUUUUGUUCUACAGCCCGAACAAGUAUCAACCUUUAUCACUUGCUCACAGGUUUGUGAUAUAUGAGAUCCAACAGAAUUAUCAUUCAGAAGCUCUACAAACUCAGCAUCAAAGCACCCACACAGUAGGUAAGAGGAAAACACAAACCGCAAAUUAUCCAGCAACAUCUGUGAGUCUGAGUUUGUCUUGUCCAGAGACAAGGAGAUCAAAGAGACAACCAAACAACUAGAGUUGCACUUCAAAAUACAAGUUCUUAUGUUUUCCCCCUCCAUAAACCGUCGAGGGAAGUAGAAGACUAGACAAAAUAGGGGGUUCCCACUACUUCUAGGCACCCUCAAGUACUCAGUUACUCUUGUCACCGUUCUUCUUCUUUGGGUUCUUUGGUCCUUCAUCUCCAUUGCCUUUCUUUCUUGGCUCCUCCUCCCCUUCUUCCAUCUUCUUUUUCUGCCCUAUCUUCUUUUGUUCCUUCUUUUUUAGCAGGGCUUCAUCAGUCAAUUGUUCAUCUUCCAGUUCACCAAGCUCCUUUCCAAGUCUCUUGAUUACCUGCUUGGACAAGGUAGGAGGAUUAGGGAGGCAGAAGAAACACUUUUUAUCAGAACAGAUGCCUCUUCUGGUUCCAUUGUUCACCUGCUUUCCUCUGCUGUUCCUUCUGAGCUCUGUUUCCACAACUGGGCAGGUCCUCUUGGGUCCCCUUUUCUUGGGAGUGGACUUGGGCUCCUGAAGCCGUUUUCCCACUUCCUCAUCUUCUUCCAGUGAGCUUAACUUAGUCUUGGGUGCUGCAACACAAGCAGUGUAUUGAGGACACUGUUGAGGCACAUGAAAGUCCACAACCCCAUCACCAACCCUCAGACAAUCUGCAGCUUUUGAGGAUAGAAAAUCUUUUGCCCAAUUGAACAGACUUGGAGAUAGAAGCAUGGCAGUGAAAAAAUUAACCCAUCCCGAAGGAACAGCUAAAUGUAGGUGAUUAGCAUUACCUUGAGCAAAGAAUCUAGCCCAAAGUCUGGUUGCCUCAGCAGUUCUGCUUCUUUGAGCCCAGACAGGAUCAGCCUCUGGGCCAAACAGCAGGGCCCUUCCAACCUGGAGAUUUUGAUAAACCAUCUGGUCCUCAGGUAUUUCAUUUUCUUCUGCAGGUGCAUGUUCAUGGGCCUCAAGGUUUGCAGGAAGGCCAAGGCCCAACUCAUUUUGAGCUGGUUCAUGGGCUUCUAAAAUGACAUGAGGCCCAGCAAGGUGCAGAGCAACUGGUUCAAUUUGUAAGUUGUGUUGAGCUGGUCCCUCCAUAUCAAAAAUAUUUUCAUUAGGGAUAUGGAGCUCAGGAGCCAGCUCGUUUACUUCCAAAAGUUCCUCAUUUUGUUCCAGCUCUACAGGGUCAAUCUGGAAGUCCUGCAUUUCUAAGUCUGCAAUAUUCAUGAGAUGUUGUUCUUCAGCCAUCAGGUUCAAGUUCAGCUGGUUAUUCAACACUGGCUGGUGAAGAUGAACUUGCGGAGGUGGCUGCUCAAGAGCCUGCAGAGGCAUCUGCUGAAUUUCUUCAAUUUCUUGCCCAGGGUCUUGAGGAUUUAGCUGAUUUGCUGGGUUUACAAUAACCUCCAUUGGGUCCUCCUCCCCCCAGGUAGAUUCAGGUCAAUAUUUAUCACAUGUUCUGCUUCCAGAUUCAGGUUGGGUACUUGGACAGGAACCUGCAAUUGUUGCUGUUGAGGCUGAGGCCAGAGUUCCCAGGCAGCAUUGUCAGCAUUAUCCCCAUCUUGAGCUUGUGGUUCAACUUGUUGCUGAUUCUGAAUCUGCUCUUGCUCAUUUUCCUGGAUCUGAAAGGGUCCAUUACCAGGUUGGCCGAGACCAAAGAAGUCAAAUGGUGCCCCUACUGGGAAAGGUUCGACUGGCAAAGGAUCCUCAUCCUGUGGUCCAUCACCCAACAAUCUGCUUUGAAGGACCUCACAUUGCACUGUCCAAGAGUCACUCUCUAAUCCCAGAGAAUCUGAUAGCACGAUGAACUGAGGGACCGACUGUAGGUCAAGGACUCUGGCCUUGAGAAUCAAUCUUACCAUCCUGCUCCUAUCAUUCCUCCAGUGCAGAAGUUUCCCAAACGAUGAAAUAGCAUUCUGGAUGUAUCCAUCUUCCCAAUAAUCAGCCGGGAACUCCAUGAGCAUCAACCAUACCUCAGUGUUGAAGUAGGCCCUACGCCAGUUCCUACCUUUGUUGUGCUCCGUAAAGGUGAAGUGCACAUCUAGGUAAGGAAUAGGACCUAAGCUCACCAGAUUGUCUCUAUCAAUCCUAUGGUGAAAUCUUACCAGAGCUUGACCCAGCGUAGAAGGCUGGAUUUCCUUGACAUGUAUUCUCCGCUCAAGAAAGAACUCAGCUAGAACUUCUUCAACAGCAUCAAAGUGAAUGGCAUUACCAGGCAGAUGAUCGAUGGUGACGAUCGCGAGGUCUUCAUUCCUAAGCGGAGGCCUCGAGGAAACCACCGCCCUGACAACUGGCACCCUGUUCUCCACUUCCAUCCAUUGCAGAUUCUGAGGGAUGAAAGGACGAGGGUCAGAGCGUUGGAAGGCCAUUGGUGAAGCAAGCGGCGCAGAUUGAGCUGGUGUAGGUUUGUUUGCGCUGGGGUUUUCUUGAUUUUCCUGGUGCUCCUGUUGUUCUUGCACGGGAACAGAGGAGGAAGGAGGGUAGACGACCGACUGAUUAAUGCAAAGCGUCCACCGCUUAGGGUCGUGCGCCUCUUCAGCUU